GUCCGUUGGGGUGGCGGCGGCGGAAGACGGCGGGUGGAGGGAAGCGCGGGCCUCUGAGGGAGGGGCUGAGAUCCUGGAGCUGUGGGAGGGAGCAGGGCAGGCCUAGCCGAGAGCGAGGACCGGGCCCGGUUGGAGUGGAGGCGGCGGGAGCUUCCGGGCCCGCAGGGGGCUCCGGCUUGGGACGCCCCCUGGGUCUAGCAGGUGCGACGGGCUGAGCUUGCGGCGUUGGUCGCAGUGGUUCUUCACAGCGCGGCCCGAGGGCCCUCUCAAGAGUCGAGGCCUGCCUGGACUUGGCAGUGGCGCCAUAGGCAGCUACGGGCGCCGACUCGGCGCAUCUCCGGUCGGGCCCGCGGGUGAUGGGCAGCGAGCCCCGCGAGCCCGAGCGGCCUGGGAGAGCAGGGGGCGGCGCGAGGCUGGGGGCGGGGCGGAGCGGGUGGGGCCAGGCUCGGGGCUGCCGGGAUGCUGCCUCUCGGGAGACUAGAGGUUGUUGACCCUUGCCCUCCUCCCAGCCUGGGACCCUUGUGCCUUAAAAUUUUUUACCCUUUUCUGAAUACCGUAGUGGCAUCUUUCUUACUUUGUCCGUUCUCCGGGCUCGAGAGCGUGUUUCCGGAGCCAUGUCAGAAGGAGUGGAUUUGAUUGAUAUAUACGCUGAUGAAGAGUUCAAUCAGGACUCGGAGUUCAACAACACAGAUCAGAUUGACCUAUAUGAUGAUGUGCUGACGGCGGCCUCACAGCCCUCGGAUGACAGAAGCAGUAGCACAGAACCACCCCCUCCUGUCCGCCAGGAGCCAGCUCCCAAACCAAACAACAAGACCCCUGCAAUUCUGUACACAUACAGUGGCCUGCGGAGUCGGCGAGCAGCUGUCUAUGUAGGCAGUUUCUCCUGGUGGACCACAGACCAGCAGCUGAUCCAGGUUAUUCGCUCUAUAGGAGUCUAUGAUGUGGUGGAGUUGAAAUUUGCAGAGAACCGUGCAAAUGGCCAGUCUAAAGGGUAUGCUGAGGUGGUGGUAGCCUCUGAAAAUUCUGUCCACAAAUUGCUGGAACUCUUACCAGGAAAAGUUCUUAAUGGAGAAAAAGUAGAUGUGAGGCCAGCCACCCGGCAGAACUUAUCACAAUUUGAGGCUCAGGCUCGGAAACGUGAGUGCGUCCGAGUCCCAAGAGGGGGAAUACCUCCACGGGCCCACUCGAGAGAUUCUAGUGAUUCUGCUGAUGGACGGGCAACCCCCUCUGAGAAUCUUGUGCCCUCAUCUGCUCGUGUGGAUAAGCCCCCCAGCGUGUUGCCCUACUUUAACCGUCCUCCUUCAGCCCUUCCCCUAAUGGGUCUGCCCCCACCCCCAAUUCCACCCCCACCACCUCUCUCCUCAAGCUUUGGUGUCCCUCCUCCUCCUCCUGGUAUCCACUACCAGCAUCUCAUGCCCCCCCCUCCUCGAUUACCUCCUCAUCUGGCUGUACCUCCCCCUGGGGCCAUCCCACCAGCCCUUCACCUCAAUCCAGCCUUCUUCCCCCCACCAAAUGCUACAGUGGGGCCUCCACCAGAUACUUACAUGAAGGCCUCUACACCCUAUAACCACCAUGGCAGCCGAGAUUCAGGCCCUCUACCGUCUACAGUGAGUGAAGCUGAAUUUGAAGAGAUAAUGAAGCGAAACAGAGCAAUUUCCAGCAGUGCCAUUUCCAAAGCAGUGUCUGGAGCUAGUGCAGGGGAUUACAGUGACGCCAUUGAGACACUACUCACAGCCAUUGCAGUUAUCAAACAGUCCCGAGUCGCCAAUGAUGAGCGUUGUCGGGUCCUCAUCUCUUCUCUUAAGGACUGUCUUCAUGGCAUAGAGGCCAAGUCUUACAGUGUGGGGGCCAGUGGAAGCUCUUCUAGGAAAAGACAUCGGUCAAGGGAGAGGUCACCCAGCCGGUCCCGAGAGAGUAGCAGAAGGCACCGAGACUUGCUUCAUAAUGAAGACCGACAUGAUGAUUAUUUCCAAGAAAGGAACCGGGAGCAUGAGAGACACCGGGAUAGAGAACGGGACCGGCACCACUGAGAAAGGAGAGGGCCCCAGCUCUGGGGUUUGAGGCUGAUGAGCCAACUGAAGUGAUGGAUCUUUGACUUCUGUAUGCAUUCAGACACUACUGCCAGCCAACACCAGUUCCCUUGAUGUACCAGUUAUCCUGUGCAUCUCAUUCUGAGUCUGGGUGGAAGCAAAUUGUUUUUAAUGGACUUGCAUCUCCUCACCUUGAUCAGGACUAAAGGACGGAGGCCGCUCCACCCCUUCCCCUUCUUCCAAACCCCUAACUUCCUCCAGGCAAAACCCUCUGCCCUGCAGGAUUGAAGAUGGCUUGGCAGCCCUCCCAAUCCCACACCUUCAGUUUGCCAUGGGGGAAGAACCUAAAGACUUGCUGGGGUAGUGAAUGAGGGCAUACAGGAAGACAGCAACAUGUCCAGCCCAUAGUCUCCAUAGAGAAUGGUGCUUUGUCCAAGGAAACCCGAGUUUCUGAUUGCCCAGAAGCAGUCAGUGGUGAGGUUACUACGAGUAAAUUUCCUUCCCAGAGAAAAUGGAUCCUCUAUGUGGGGUCUUAGGAAAGUGACUGGGUGUGCCAAAAAUGCCCAGGGUUCUGCCCUCAGUACUAGAUUUGAUGGGGCCAAGAGGGUCCAAACCCUGCUAACAUACCACUUUGUUCAACUCCUGUACUUUCCUAGCCAGUUGAGGAGGGACCAUGAGAACAGAAACUACCUUGUGACAAGAAACGUGUUCUCAGUUUUCUCCUCACGUGUUGAUGGUUUAUUUCCAUGGCCUCCUAGAGGGCUGAAUCCUUUUGACUCCUUGCUAUCUGACUCCUCAGUGGACUUGCCCCUCUGAAACAGAACCCAGGAAGCUUCGGCUAUCUGCCGGAAGCCUAGGCCAGCCAGAUACCACCAUUUGCUGCUUUAGGCUUGUCUGUUUGUUGCAAUAACCAGCUCUUAGGUAUUUCCUUUCCCCAAGGCUUUCCAUUUAACAUGGAAUCCUUCCCCAAGAAGGCUUCUUCCUUGUUUUAGAGGAAGGUACUGCCUUUGGGACUUAGGGAUGUCAUGGGACCUCAGUAACAAGGACCCCUAGUUAAUAAAGUACCAGAAGUGUGGAGAAGAGAGCAAUUUGAGCAGUAUGUAGCCUACUCACAUGGGCUCUUUUGCAGGUUAAUGUGAGCAUAGGCUUGCAUUUCCAAGGUACAUACUUUGACUUAACUGUGGAAUAACUCAGCACUAAUAGGCAGGUAAAGUCAAGACUGGUUUUUGGGGGUUUCUUUUUUGGUGUUUUUGUUUUUGUUUUUAUUCCUUUACUCUGAUACUUCCCCCGUCACUUUGCCUGGAGGUGCUUCCAGCCUUUAAGAAGGAGCAGAGAAGAAUUGGAGCUCAGAGUUGUAAGGACCAGCACACUAGUGGCCAUUUUCUGCACAAGCAAAUGGAAUUGCUUUUUUCAGGAUCCAGAUUGUGAUAGGUUGCUCCUGAUGGAGGUAGCCACAGUCCUGGAGUACCAUAGGGUGAUGUUCCUUCAGCAGGGCCUGUGAGAUCUAAUGUGAAAAGAGACACGACAUGUGAGAUGGGACUUGGUGUGUGAGGCAUGAGUCAUUGGAGACUCUUCAGACUCAGAGGGGAGACUGAAUUGGAUGCUUUCUCUCUUCUCAGCACACUUCUGAUAGACCCCUUCAGUCACUGAGGGAGUGCCCCCAAGGUUGGAGAGGCACAUUCCCUUUGGACAGAGGCUACAAGUUGUGGCUUAUUUUCCUGUCCCCUAAACCAAUCCCUAUUCCAUCAACAUGGCAUCCUGCCUAAUUUUCUAAGGGUUAAGUGAUAUGCUUAUUCUUGAAAGCAGCUCGGGUGUCUUUUUAAAAAAGAAAAAAAUGAAAAAAAAAAAAAAGGAAAGUGACAGUUAAGGAAAAACAACAUAUAAAAUAUCAGAAAAGCUGUUUACCCAGAGAAUUAUUUUCUCCCCACUUUUAUUUUUACUCAGUGACAUAAUUUUUAGUUUUAUUCCUCAUAGCAAAAGGAGAAAAGCAUCCCAGUCCUCAAAAGGUCAAGGCCCCACCCCUGUUGUCGGUGAUUUGUUUGUCUUUCUGAUAGGUUGAGAAUUGUGUAAUAAACUUGAUGACGAUGUCAAUCUUUUAUACUGCAUUGUAUUUUUUUCCUUUUGUAACAAAAUAUUUUUAAAUAAUAAAUGGGGUGUGAGCUGUUUA